rnacentral:rRNA from 1 species
UGAGGAAUAUUGGUCAAUGGGCGAGAGCCUGAACCAGCCAAGUCGCGUGAGGGAGUACUGCCCUAUGGGUUGUAAACCUCUUUUGUCGGGGGAGCAAAAGCCGGACGUGUCCGUCUGUGAGAGUACCCGAAGAAAAAGCAUCGGCUAACUCCGUGCC